rnacentral:misc_RNA from 1 species
GCCAGGUUGGUUUCUAUCUUUAAUUUAAAAAUUUUUAUAGUACGAAAGGACCUAAAAAUUUAAUUUAAUUAAUUAAUUAGCUUAUAUUAAAGCAAGUAUUUUGAAAAUACUAGAAAGAUAAAAAAUUUAUUAAUUUU